rnacentral:rRNA from 1 species
GUCCACGCCCUAACGAUGAUUACUCGAUGUUGGCGAUACACAGUCAGCGUCUAAGCGAAAGCAUUAAGUAAUCCACCUGGGGAGUACGACCGCAAGGUUGAAACUCAAAGGAAUUGACGGGGCCCGCACAAGCGGAGGAGCAUGUGGUUUAAUUCGAUGAUACGCGAGGAACCUUACCUGGGCUUGAAAGUUAGUGAAUGAUCUAGAAACAGAUCAGACCGAAAGGACACGAAACUAGGUGCUGCAUGGCUGUCGU